UACGUAGGGGGCGAGCGUUGUCCGGAGUUACUGGGCGUAAAGCGCACGCAGGCGGUCUGCUAAGUUUGGAGUGACAGUUGGUGGCUUAACUGCCAAAGUGCUUCGAAAACUGACAGACUUGAGGGCUUCAGAGGGACACGGAAUUCCGAGUGUAGGGGUGAAAUUCGUAGAUAUUCGGAAGAACACCAGUGGCGAAGGCGACUCACUGGACACGUAUUGACGCUGAGGUGCGAAAGCGUGGGGAGCAAACAGG
rnacentral:rRNA from 1 species